rnacentral:lncRNA from 1 species
UAAAUAUAUAUCAAACAUUAAUAUUUAAAAUUUGGCUAAAUUACAGAAACCUCCUUAUAAAUACCCAUAUUUUUAUUUUUUCUUCCUAACUUUUAAAAACUUACAUUUUACCCCCUCAACACUUCAAGUUAUUGCAUUUAGCCCUCCUCCAUGAGGAUUCCAUCACUAUUCCGUCUAUUUCUUAUAAUUUAUACCGAAAAUACUCUUCAAAAUGAUAGAAAUAUAUUAAAAAAUUAUUUUUUUCUUAUAGAAGAAAUAAGAUUAAUUUGGUCAUUUUGCUCUCUCCAUUAACAACGUAUCUCUCUAAAAAUAUUUUUAAAAUUUUAAGAAGACAAAAUAUAAACUUUUGAAACUCAAAAAAAAAAAAAGCAAAAUAAUGAAUAUUCACAGAAUUUUUUUUUUUAUAAUUUAGCCUUUAAAUUUUAUCGAAUUUCAUAUAAGAUCUGAAUUUGCCCUAACGACUCCCACCUGUGCUGCCAGCAUUUGCUUAUAACGGAAAGAACUUUCUGGAAAGUUGACAACACAUUUAACCAGAUGUUAGUCUGCAUCUGAUUCCAUGUGUUAUUAUUAUUAUUAUUAUUUUUAUUAUUAUUAUUAUUAUUAUUAUUAGGCUAAAUUACAGAAAACCCCCCUAUAAUAACCCGUUUUUUCACUUCCCUCCCCUGACAUUUAAAAACCUACACUUUGCCUCCUUGUAAAAUGAAAAAUGUGCACUUCACCCCUACCGUCAGGUUCCGUUAGGGGUUCUGUUAAAAAAUAUUUUUUUAUACCGAAAAUACCUCUCUGCCUCUUCUCUGAUGCUUCGCUCCCUCCGGCUCGCAGCUUCGCCGCCUCGCCGCCUCGCCGUCCUCCACUGCUUCGCCCUCGCCCACAUCCCUUUCGUCCUCCUCCGCCACCUCGCCUUCGCCCUCGUUGUCCCUGCCUACCUCUCCAUCAACACCCAUCUUAGUAUCCUCCCUACUGUCGCCGAAAUCGAUAGACGGCGACGGUGUAGGAGGAGAAGGGGAGCAGGUGGAGAAGAAAUUGGAGAGGAAUCGUGGCCGAUUGAAGUGGAAAUAGUAGCGGAUCGAAGGGAUGGCUGAGGAAGCUCAAGAAGAAGACAACAAUGGCGAGGGGCAAAAUAGUCAUUUUACACACCAUGACCCCCCUGUGAAUAUUUUUCAUUUUAUAAGGGGGCAAAGUGUAGGUUUUUAAAUAUCAGGGGGGAAAAGUGAAAAAGCGGGUUAUUACAUGGGGGUUUUCUGUAAUUUAGCCUUAUUAUUAUAUGUGUCAAAUUUCUCUCCCAAUCA